AGAGUUUGAUCAUGGCUCAGAACGAACGCUGGCGGCAGGCUUAACACAUGCAAGUCGAGCGCACUCUUCGGAGUGAGCGGCGGACGGGUUAGUAACGCGUGGGAACGUGCCCUUCUCUAAGGAAUAGCCACUGGAAACGGUGAGUAAUACCUUAUACGCCCUUCGGGGGAAAGAUUUAUCGGAGAAGGAUCGGCCCGCGUUAGAUUAGAUAGUUGGUGGGGUAAUGGCCUACCAAGUCUACGAUCUAUAGCUGGUUUUAGAGGAUGAUCAGCAACACUGGGACUGAGACACGGCCCAGACUCCUACGGGAGGCAGCAGUGGGGAAUCUUGGACAAUGGGCGCAAGCCUGAUCCAGCCAUGCCGCGUGAGUGAUGAAGGCCUUAGGGUCGUAAAGCUCUUUCGCCAGAGAUGAUAAUGACAGUAUCUGGUAAAGAAACCCCGGCUAACUCCGUGCCAGCAGCCGCGGUAAUACGGAGGGGGUUAGCGUUGUUCGGAAUUACUGGGCGUAAAGCGCACGUAGGCGGAUCAGAAAGUAUAGGGUGAAAUCCCAGGGCUCAACCCUGGAACUGCCUUGUAAACUCCUGGUCUUGAGUUCGAGAGAGGUGAGUGGAAUUCCGAGUGUAGAGGUGAAAUUCGUAGAUAUUCGGAGGAACACCAGUGGCGAAGGCGGCUCACUGGCUCGAUACUGACGCUGAGGUGCGAAAGUGUGGGGAGCAAACAGGAUUAGAUACCCUGGUAGUCCACACCGUAAACGAUGAAUGCCAGACGUCAGCAAGCAUGCUUGUUGGUGUCACACCUAACGGAUUAAGCAUUCCGCCUGGGGGAGUACGGUCGCAAGAUUAAAACUCAAAGGAAUUGACGGG
rnacentral:rRNA from 1 species